AGAGUUUGAUCCUGGCUCAGAGCGAACGCUGGCGGCAGGCCUAACACAUGCAAGUCGAGCGCCGUAGCAAUACGGAGCGGCAGACGGGAGAGUAACACGUGGGAACGUGCCCUUCAGUCCGGAACAACCCAGGGAAACUUGGGCUAAUACCGGAUACGUCCGUAAGGAGAAAGAUUUAUCGCUGAAGGAUCGGCCCGCGUCUGAUUAGCUAGUUGGUGAGGUAACGGCUCACCAAGGCGACGAUCAGUAGCUGGUCUGAGAGGAUGAUCAGCCUCACUGGGACUGAGACACGGCCCAGACUCCUACGGGAGGCAGCAGUGGGGAAUAUUGGACAAUGGGCGCAAGCCUGAUCCAGCCAUGCCGCGUGGAUGAUGAAGGCCCUAGGGUUGUAAAGUCCUUUCGGCGGGGAAGAUAAUGACGGUACCCGCAGAAGAAGCCCCGGCUAACUUCGUGCCAGCAGCCGCGGUAAUACGAAGGGGGCUAGCGUUGCUCGGAAUCACUGGGCGUAAAGCGCACGUAGGCGGCUUUUUAAGUCAGGGGUGAAAUCCUGGAGCUCAACUCCAGAACUGCCUUUGAUACUGAGAAGCUUGAGUCCGGGAGAGGUGAGUGGAACUGCGAGUGUAGAGGUGAAAUUCGUAGAUAUUCGCAAGAACACCAGUGGCGAAGGCGGCUCACUGGCCCGGUACUGACGCUGAGGUGCGAAAGCGUGGGGAGCAAACAGGAUUAGAUACCCUAGUAGUCC
rnacentral:rRNA from 1 species